AUAAAAACCUGAAAAAGUGAAAAGUGAAAAAGUGGUUCACCCAGGGCGAGGCUCAGCCAUUGCACUGCGGCUGUGCUGACCUUUGCGAAUUCCCCAAAUGUGGGAAUCUCGACUGCAUAAUUUCUGGUAGUGGGGGACUGCGUUCGCGCUCUCCCCUA